rnacentral:rRNA from 1 species
CACACGACCGUACCGCAAACCGACACUGGUGCGCGAGAUGAGUAUUCUAAGGCGCUUGAGAGAACUCAGGAGAAGGAACUCGGCAAAUUGACACCGUAACUUCGGAAGAAGGUGUGCCUUUAGUAGGUGAAGUCCCUCGCGGAUGGAGCCCAAUGAGGUUGCAAAAAAUCGGUGGCUGCGACUGUUUAUUAAAAACACAGCACUCUGCAAACACGAAAGUGGACGUAUAGGGUGUGACGCCUGCCCGGUGCUGGAAGAUUAAAUGAUGGGGUGCAAGCUCUUGAUUGAAGUCCCAGUAAACGGCGGCCGUAACUAUAACGGUCCUAAGGUAGCGAAAUUCCUUGUCGGGUAAGUUCCGACCUGCACGAAUGGCGUAACGAUGGCCACACUGUCUCCUCCUGAGACUCAGCGAAGUUGAAAUGUUUGUGAUGAUGCAAUCUCCCCGCGGAAAGACGGAAAGACCCCAUGAACCUUUACUGUAGCUUUGUAUUGGACUUUGAACAGAUCUGUGUAGGAUAGGUGGGAGGCUUUGAAGCAGGGUCGCUAGAUCUUGUGGAGCCAACGUUGAAAUACCACCCUGGUGUGUUUGAGGUUCUAACCUAGGCCCGUAAUCCGGGUUGGGGACAGUGCAUGGUAGGCAGUUUGACUGGGGCGGUCUCCUCCCAAAGUGUAACGGAGGAGUUCGAAGGUACGCUAGUUACGGUCGGACAUCGUGACGAUAGUGCAAUGGCAUAAGCGUGCUUAACUGCGAGACUGACAAGUCGAGCAGAUGCGAAAGCAGGACAUAGUGAUCCGGUGGUUCUGUAUGGAAGGGCCAUCGCUCAACGGAUAAAAGGUACUCUGGGGAUAACAGGCUGAUACCGCCCAAGAGUUCAUAUCGACGGCGGUGUUUGGCACCUCGAUGUCGGCUCAUCUCAUCCUGGGGCUGUAGCCGGUCCCAAGGGUAUGGCUGUUCGCCAUUUAAAGAGGUACGUGAGCUGGGUUUAAAACGUCGUGAGACAGUUUGGUCCCUAUCUUCCGUGGGCGCUGCAGAUUUGAGGAAGCCUGCUCCUAGUACGAGAGGACCGGAGUGGACGCACCUCUGGUGUAUCGGUUGUCACGCCAGUGGCAUUGCCGAGUAGCUAUGUGCGGAAGAGAUAACCGCUGAAAGCAUCUAAGCGGGAAACUCGUUUCAAGAUGAGAUCUGCCGGGGCCUUGAGCCCCCUGAAGAGUCGUUCAAGACCAGGACGUUGAUAGGUCGGGUGUGGAAGCGCAGUAAUGCGUUAAGCUAACCGAUACUAAUUGCUCGUGCGGCUUGACCCU